rnacentral:rRNA from 1 species
AAGUGAGUGGCGAACGGGUGAGUAACACGUGGGUAACCUGCCCAGAAGUAGGGGAUAACACCUGGAAACAGAUGCUAAUACCGUAUAACAGAGAAAACCGCAUGGUUUUCUUUUAAAAGAUGGCUCUGCUAUCACUUCUGGAUGGACCCGCGGCGUAUUAGCUAGUUGGUGAGGUAAAGGCUCACCAAGGCAGUGAUACGUAGCCGACCUGAGAGGGUAAUCGGCCACAUUGGGACUGAGACACGGCCCAGACUCCUACGGGAGGCAGCAGUAGGGAAUCUUCCACAAUGGACGCAAGUCUGAUGGAGCAACGCCGCGUGAGUGAAGAAGGGUUUCGGCUCGUAAAGCUCUGUUGUUAAAGAAGAACGUGGGUAAGAGUAACUGUUUACCCAGUGACGGUAUUUAACCAGAAAGCCACGGCUAACUACGUGCCAGCAGCCGCGGUAAUACGUAGGUGGCAAGCGUUAUCCGGAUUUAUUGGGCGUAAAGCGAGCGCAGG